rnacentral:misc_RNA from 1 species
CGCACAUUGCGCCCAUUAGUAUUCUAGUGGGCAUGCCUGUUCGAGCGUCAUUUCAACCCUUUAAGCCUAGCUUAGUGUUGGGAAUCUACUGUAUGGGCGGAGCUACCCUGUAGCGCCUACCCUGGAGCGGUCUUACCCUGUAACGACCUACCCUGUAGUUCCUAAAAAUCAACGGCGGAUCUAUGGUGUCCUCUGAGCGUAGUAAUUUACAUCUCGCUUCUGUCAGGUUCUAUAGCUCUUGCCGCUAAACCCCCAAUUUUUUAAUGGUUGACCUCGGAUCAGGUAGGAAUACCCGCUGAACUUAA